rnacentral:rRNA from 1 species
GCAAGUCGAACGGUAACAGCGGGAGCUUGCUCCCGGCUGACGAGUGGCGGACGGGUGAGUAACGCGUAGGAAUCUGCCCAGUAGUGGGGGACAACCCGGGGAAACUCGAGCUAAUACACCAUACGCCCUAAGGGGGAAAGGUGGCCUCUCCUUGGAAGCGGCCACUAUUGGAUGAGCCUGCGUUGGAUUAGCUAGUUGGUAAGGUAAUGGCUUACCAAGGCGACGAUCCAUAGCUGGUCUGAGAGGACGAUC